CAUGUUGCCAGCCACAAGUGCGGCCGAUGGACCAUGUCCCACUAUUGCAAGUCUGCAAUCAUAGGAGCCCAGCAUCAGAUCUUGUUUUCUCUCCACCGUUGGCACCGCCUCCACGUUUCUGACUUGAGAUUCGGGGGGGAAUCGCAGAGGCUUCCUCGAUCAUUCCUUCUGUUUCGAGAUCUGCCUGGAAGUUCACUGGUUCCUGACCCCAUCCAACAAGCUGUAGGUAGACGCUAUAAUCAAUUGGAAAGAAGAAGAGAGGCAUACACAUGGUACUUGGAUUUACUGCCGAGGUACAUUUCACCGUCUCAUGAUGAUGAUUUAUCAUUUAUGAGUCCUUUUCUUGACUUGAAGUAGGAGGAGACUUGUUAUAGAGGAAGCAUUCAGUCGUUUGGGGCCACCGUCACGGAUUUACAUAUUUUUCCUUCUAGUUUCAUGUAAACAUGACAGCACAUGCCCAAUCCGUCAUCGGUGGAUUGGAGUGUGAUGAACAACUCUCUCCCAUUGACUUUCCAAGCUGAUCAUCCAUUUUCAUAUUACCCAUCACAUGCACUCAGGGCAUCUGUGUUGUGCCAGGGCCUUCCUGGAGUUUGGAAAUGGGUUACUAUCAUCUUACUUUAAUAUAAAGCAAUGGCCCUUUCCAUAUUUUAAUGUUGAUAUGAGCACUCCCGAUUUCACAUGCCCUUACAGGGCCACAAGGUCUACUUGAUCCAGAUCCAAGUUGGUUUAAAGUGACAUUAGUAUAAAUUAAUUUUGCAAGUUUGGAUGAAAUAUUUGUCUUGGUGGAAAAAUUAAUCAAAAUAA